AGAAGAAGUUGUUUCCAAAGAAACUGCUUUCACCAGCUCGCUUGAAACAAGCUUCAAAGAAGUUUGGAGGGGAUGAAAAGCAGCCAAAGCAUCGUUUGAUUGCUAAUGAGAAUAGUGGGGGUUUUCCAAUUGCAAAGAGCAACGGAAUGAGCAAUACUCGUUGUGAAAGCAAGCGCGAAAUGAAAGCACCAAGUUUGGUUGCUAGACUCAUGGGUUUGGAAUCAAUGCCAGCAGGACCAGGUAGUAAGGCCAAAAAGGCUUCAGCUUCUGAAACUGGGAGCUAUGUGGCGGAGAAACUUGAUGCUCGGCCUGGCGGAUCUGAUAAAGAAGAUAUGGAUUGUGAGAAGGCUGAAAUAAAGCGUGAAUUGAGGCCCCAAAAGCUUCAGAAGAUAGGGGUGAGUGAGAGACGUCCAGUCAGCAGAUUUAGUGCUGAAGCAUUGCAGUUGAGGACUGUAUUGUCAAGGCCAAGGAAACAUCAGCCUAAAUUGACUUCUCCAGUAAAAAGUCCUAGAAACGUCUCUGGUAGAAAUGCAUCUAGGUUGAUUGGGGCUGCAACUAGGAUUUUGGAACCGGGUUUGCAAAAGAGUAGGGCGAAAUGUGCUCUUACUUAUCCUAAAUAUUUUUCUCCUUUGGAAGAUAAAGCAGAUUUAGCACUGCAUCAUUUGGAAGUCCCUAAUCCUUAUGUGGAUUCAAAGACUUCGGAAGUGAGAGCAUCUGUGCCUUCAUGUAAAAAUUGUGGUUAUAUGCUUCAUAGUAAGAAUGGUACACCAAAUGGGGAAGAACACCCAUCGUCUGUCUCGUCACCUGUCUCUAGUUACUCUCAACCUUCUUGUCAAGGUCCAGGAAGAAAUAUGCUAAGGUUGCCCAUUAUCAACAGCAGAGAUCAAUUAGAGAGAGUUUUUGAGGGUUCGUCUUCAGACGCCAAUGCUGAAAUAGAUGAUGUAUCAUACUGUGCAGAGCUCAUAUUGGGCAAGCGACCUAUUAGCAGAAGUCGAAUAGCGAUGCAUGGCGCCUGCCAAGGGAGCAAUGUGAAAAAGGAUGCAUCAUCUGUCACUCAUGUGCUUAACCAGAAGCAAAAUCAAACAUCUCAGAAUAGAGAGAGGGGAU
rnacentral:misc_RNA from 1 species